GAGUUUGAUCGUGGCUCAGAACGAACGCUGGCGGCAUGCCUAACACAUGCAAGUCGAACGCGUGGCUUCGGCCACGAGUGGCGCACGGGUGAGUAGCGCGUGGGAACCUGCCUUUAGGUUCGGGAUAACCGCGGGAAACUGCGGCUAAUACCGGAUGCUCCCUACGGGGAAAAGAUUUAUCGCCUGAAGAGGGGCCCGCGUCCGAUUAGGUAGUUGGUGAGGUAACGGCUCACCAAGCCUUCGAUCGGUAGCUGGUCUGAGAGGAUGAUCAGCCACACUGGGACUGAGACACGGCCCAGACUCCUACGGGAGGCAGCAGUGGGGAAUAUUGGACAAUGGGGGAAACCCUGAUCCAGCAAUGCCGCGUGAGUGAUG
rnacentral:rRNA from 1 species